CUAUAUUCUGAUCCUCAUAACUUUCCUGUGAAGCAGAGAUGAACCAUAUGAAGAUUUAAGAAUGAGGAUAAAAAUGUUUGUGAAAAUCCAGACUUAUACACUUCCUAAGAAAAAUCUGGAGAAGACUCUGGUGCCCGCUAAGCAUGGAAAUUUUCACCAUAUGGAAAAGAAAUAGUAAAACCCAUCACUGAAAUGAUAGAUUCCUUGAAAACAUCCUUGCAAAUCGAAGUAAUCUGGUUCAGCUCAAAUUGCAUCAAGGGAUGAGAAAAGAAUGAGUGACUUAACCUGCUCACUGAACUAAUCCACUAGAGGCUCAUGCAUUUUCCUUCACACAUUCCACACAAAUGUACACAUAUUUCUCAAAAUUUUCAAAGUCCUUGUUCCAUUGUAAUUCUGCAAACAAAACAAAAAACAAAACACCAACUUCAUAGAAGGGUGACAUGUUUUACCCUUUUGGCUAUAAUUUCACUUUCUAUCUGGGGAAGUUUUCAAGCAAUGAACUUAUAUUAUCAGUUAUAUGAAUAAGGAAUUUGAGAAGAGCUUUUCCUUUCUGGAACAGAAAUGAGGCUCUCUAGCAACCUUUUCUGUGUGUGUUUGUGUGUGUGUAAUGUGUGUGUACACAUGUAUGCAUAUGUGUGUGCCAAUGUGUUGUUUUGAGGGAUGAGGGAAAUCAACCUUAUGAUCUCUCAUACUGAAGGUAGGCUUUAGUGGACUGUGUCCUCUCCCCUUAAUUAUCCUGCAGUCUUCAAGGAGGUUUCUUGAGAUAAAAAUAGGUG